UGCGUAGGCGGGCUAAUAAGUCGGAUGUGAAAUCCCCGAGCUUAACUUGGGAAUUGCAUUCGAUACUGGGAAGCUAGAGUAUGGGAGAGGAUGGUAGAAUUCCAGGUGUAGCGGUGAAAUGCGUAGAGAUCUGGAGGAAUACCGAUGGCGAAGGCAGCCAUCUGGCCUAAUACUGACGCUGAGGUACGAAAGCAUGGGGAGCAAACAGGAUUAGAUACCCUGGUAGUC
rnacentral:rRNA from 1 species